rnacentral:lncRNA from 13 species
GAUGCCACACUUGCUGGGGCACGGCGGUCGGUUGCUUCUGCAGCAUUUGAGCUGGAUGCCACACUUGCUGCGGCACGGUGGUCGGUUGCUUCUGCAGCAUUUGAGCUGUAUGCCACAUUUGCUGGGGCACGGCGGUCGGUUCCUUCUGCUGCUGGGGCUCGACGGCCAGUUCCUUCUGCUGCUGGGGCAUUUGAGAAGGAUGCCACACUUGCAGGGUAACGUCGGUUGGUUGCUCCUGCUGCAGGGGCAUUAGAGCAGGAUGCCACACUUGCUUCUGCAGUGUGUGAAAUGGAUUCCACACUUGCUGGUGCACGGCGGUAGGUUGCUUCUGCUGCAGGGGCAUUUGAGCUGGAUGCCACGCUUGCUGGGCUAUGGUUUUUGGUUCUUUCUGCAGUAGAGGCAAAGGGACCAGUUGCUUCUGCUGCAGGGGCAUUUGAGCUUGAUGCCACACUUGCUGGGGCACGGCGGUCGGUUGCUUCUGCAGUGUGUGAAAUGGAUUCCACACUUGCUGGGGCACGGCGGUUGGUUGCUUCUGCUGCAGGGGCAUUAGAGCAGGAUUCCACACUUGCUGGGGCACAGUGGUCGGUUGCUUCUGCUGCAGGGGCAUUAGAGCAGGAUUCCACACUUGCUGAGGCACGGCGGUUGGUUGCUUCUGCAGUGUGUGAAAUGGAUUCCACACUUGCUUGGGCAUGGCAGUCGGUUUCUUCUGCUGCAGGGGCAUUAGAGCAGGAUUCCACACUUGCUGGGACACGGCGGGCGGGUGCUUCUGCUUCAGCAUGUGAGCUUGAUGCCACACUUGCUGGGGCACAGUUGUCGGUUUCCUCUGCGGCUGAGCUUCUGCGGAUGGUUCCUUCUGCUGCAGGGGCAUUUGAGCUGGAUGCCACACUUCCUGGGGUACAGCGGUCGGUUGCUUAUGCUUCAGCAUGUGAGCUUGAUGCCACACUUGCUGGGGCACGGCGGACGGUGGUUGCGGCAGCAUUUGAGCUUGAUGCCCCACUUGCUGGAGCACGGCGGUCUGUUGCUUCUGCAGCAUUUGAACUGGAUACCACACUUGCUGAGGUUGCUGGGACAUGGGGGCCAAGUCCUUCCGCAGGAUGGCGGCCGGAUGUUUCUGUUGCGCUUGCAUUUGAGAUUUUGGAGACUUAUAAUUGCCAUAUCCUAGAGACCGAAGUGAUCCUGCGUCAAGCCAUGCUGCAUUAGAAUCCAGUGCAGGAGACCAAUCACCUAGGUUAAAAAUAUAAACUGUAAAAUGCCAGCCUUUGAAGGUUAUGGAACUGCGUAGCUGUUAUUUGAAAUUAACUCACCUUCUGAUGUAGAACACGUUAUCCCUCCAAUUAGCAGGCAACAAAGCCAAGAAACGCUUGAGGAAAGAGAAUGUAUGUUAUAAACAUAGAUACCUGUAACACCUGAAGGACAAGGGAAACAAACUAAAUCAAUACUUAAAAACAUACCUGAAAGCGAUUUCAAUCAUCACAGCCAUUUUGCCCUCAAAACCUCACCAGUAUUCAGCACUAAUGGUAGGCAUACAUCCUACCAGAAUAUCCCUUUUACUAUAUUUGCCAGAUGUUUGGUUGCUUCUUUUAAAGGAAUCCCAGACCCUUCUAAUGUUGUUGGCUAAUUAAGGACAGCUGUCAGCCACUGAAC